CGUACACCCCACCUGGAAGAAUAACUUCAACUUUAUUCAUUUCAUUCAUUCAACACAUUUUACGGAGACAGAAAGACGAAGCAAUGUGCGGGUCGUUGUUUAAGGCCAUCUGGGGACGGAAGAAUAGACUUAUCCUGUUCUGCAGUCCGUUAUUUCUCCUGCUCGUCGGAAUCACUUGACUUCGGAAACCCACAGCAAAGAGAUGAUGAUGCUGAGUGUGUGUUAUGCUGCUAGCAUCGGUGGAACUGCUACACUAACAGGCACUGGGCCCAAUCUGGUCCUCACAGGACAAAUGAACCAGUAGGUUCCAAAACAGUUGAGAUGAAUAAUGUCCUCUAAGCAACUUUAUAUCUAAAGGUCUCUCUCCUCAGACUCUUCCCAGACAACACAGAGGUUGUGAACUUUGGCUCCUGGUUUGGGUUCGCCUUUCUCUACAUGGUGAUUAUGCUGUUGGUAGUCUGGCUGUGGUUACAGAUUGUGUUCCUGGGCUGCAAGUAAGUGACAUUACUGACUGCCAUAAAUUUAUUUACUAGUGUGUGGUUUUUGGGGACGUGGUGGCUCAGCGGUCAAGCAGCUGGGUUACUGAUCAAAAGGUUGGGGUUCAAGCCUCUGAACUUACUGCCAAGCUAUUGAUGUUGGGUGCCUAAGCAAGGCCCUUAGCCCCACCUACUCCAGGGGACCACACUGACCCCAGCUUGAUGAUAAGCUCGGAUGUGUGAAAACCCAGCACAGUGGAAACUUGUGUUGAAGGCUCCGGGUUGAUGAUCAGAGGAUCAAGGUUCAAACACCAGCACUGACAAGCUGCCAUUAUUGGGCCCUUCAGCAAGGUCCUUAAUCCUUUAUUUUCCAAGGGCACUGUAUCAUGGCUGACCCUGUGCUCUGGCACAGUGAGGAUGGAGAGAGAGAACGCUGCGUAUAAUAAGAUCCGAGAGGAUGUCCUUCGGACAAAUAAGCCUAUCAACACUGUUGUGCCUGCUAGUGGUUCUAUUGGUCAGUCGCAACCCAGGUUGGGCAGCAAAACUUUUCAACAAUGAUAAAAAGUAAGGAUCAAGUUUGACCAACAUACAUGACUAAUUCUGAUCAUCUUUUUGCUUACAAAUCUCUAGACCAUUUGAGUAUACAUACUGCAUGUAAUAAUUCUUCAAAGGCACAAAUAAAAGACCAGUAACACGUACAGCACUUUUUCAAUCAGUAUAAACAUACAAAUGAGUCAGGAGUAAAAUGUUUUUUUUCCCUUCAGUUGAAAACCUUCAAAAUUUUAGCGGCUUAUGAACAAACACUUGGUGCUUUCUCAGAGAGCAAAAAUUGGUUUGAUAUCAACAUUUAUCUGAUAUAUUCAACUAUUUCUUUUAUCUUUACAAUGUUUGGACUCUGCAGGAAGCUCGUUGUGCCUUUGUUAUCGGGCUGAUGGCAGUGUAUUGGUGUACCGAGGUGCUGCCUUUGGCCAUCACUGCUCUGUUACCGGUUGUGCUUUUUCCUCUGUUUGGUAUCAUGACCUCUAAGGAUGUACGUUUUGUCACAUUUAUAUACACACUUUAAUUUUCCAUUUUUAAAAAAAGAUAAAAGCCUACUUAACUAUACAAACUAAAUGGUUUGGGUUCGCCUUUCUCUACAUGGUGAUUAUGCUGUUGGAAGCCUGGCUGUGGUUACAGAUUGUGUUCCUGGGCUGCAAAAAAACGUGGGGCAGCGGAACAGUGAGGACUGAGAGAGAGAACGCUGCGUUUAAAAAGAUCCGCUAGGAGCUUCGAAGACUUGGGCCCAUGUCCUUCGGACAAAUACACCUAUUAACACUCUUGGUCCUGCUGGUGGUUCUAUGGUUCAGGUUAUGUGGACGGCUGGGCAACACACCUUUUCAACAGUGAUUAAAAUUAAGGAUCUUUUGUGACCAACAUACAUGACUAAUUCUGGUCAUCUUUUUGAUGAAAAAUAUUCCCCCCUCCUGGUCCUCUGCCGUGUGCCUCGCUCCCCCCCCCCCCUCCUGGUCCUCUGCAGUGUGCCUCGCUCCCCCCCUUCUGGUCCUCUGCAGUGUGCCUCGCUCCCCCCCUCCUGGUCCUCUGCAGUGUGCCUCGCUCAGCCCCCCUCCUGGUCCUCUGCAGUGUGCCUCGCUCCCCCCCUCCUGGUCCUCUGCCGUGUGCCUCGCUCCCCCCCUCCUGGUCCUCCGCAGUGUGCCUCGCUCCCCCCCCUCCUGGUCCUCCGCCUUGUGCC